rnacentral:rRNA from 1 species
CUACGGGGGCAGCAGUGAGGAAUAUUGGUCAAUGGGCGCGAGCCUGAACCAGCCAUCCCGCGUGCAGGAUGACGGCCCUAUGGGUUGUAAACUGCUUUUCUAUGCCAAGAAACCUGAUUACGUGUAAUCAGUUGCCGGUAGCAUAGGAAUAAGCAUCGGCUAACUCCGUGCCAGCAGCCGCGGUGAAUACGGAGGAUGCAAGCGUUAUCCGGAUUCAUUGGGUUUAAAGGGUGCGCAGGUGGGCUUGUAAGUCAGUGGUGAAAUGCUGCCGCUUAACGGUAGAACUGCCAUUGAUACUGCGAGUCUUGAGUAUGGUUGAGGUAGGCGGAAUGUGUUGUGUAGCGGUGAAAUGCAUAGAUAUGACACAGAACGCCAAUUGCGAAGGCAGCUUACUAAGCCAUUACUGACGCUGAGGCACGAAAGCGUGGGGAGCGAACAGGAUUAGAUACCCUGGUAGUC